rfam:Lutzomyia longipalpis Contig35371, whole genome shotgun sequence.
GAAAUGGCUCUUUUCAGAGCCCACAAAUUAAAUAAUUUAAAGAGUAAU